ensembl:lncRNA
CUAGACUAUCCAGUGAGUUUCUAGUCUACCCCUGGUAUACAACGGAAGGGUGUUUUAACAUACGGUUUAGCUGUAAAUGCAAAAGUCAAUGACUACAGAUCCUAAUAAGCACAUGGAAGAGGAGUGUAUCCGGGACGUCAGCACAGUGGAAAAGGAGUGUAUCCAGGGAUGUAAGCAUUACGGUGGGAAGUCAGUGCCAAGCCACACAUUCACAGCAUGAGGGAGUUCCGAUAGUCUCAGGAAAACACUUCAUGACGUUUAAUGCCCAUGCUUGUCUAAGGAAAAAGUAUAAGCUAGGGGCUGGAGAGAUGGCUCAGCAGUUAGAACUGCUGCUGCUCUUGCAGAGAACCUGCAUUAAUGUUCUCAGCCCCCAGGUCAAGCCGCUCACAACUCUAAAAGCAGCUGCAGGGGAUCCGAGGCUCUUCCGGCUUCCAGGGACACCGCCACACAUGGUGUGCUCCCACGCAGCGACACGCAUGCAUACAUAGAGGCUGAGAGCCUGUGUCUGAUCUGUCCACAAAACUGGGUGCCUCAGCAGCCUGCUACUGAAGUCCUGAAGGGCUCCUGGAAAGCCAUGGUCUUCAGUCCGUGUCAGAUAACUGACAAGGCUACAUUCUGAGGUCAGCAAACAAUGGCAGUGGUACCUGCAAAGUAAAUUAAUUCGACAGCAUGACCAGAAGACAACCAGAAGGCAAGCAGAUCCAGUCAAGUUUGGAUGACCAACAUUAACCAUGAAAAAUACUAAUACUCAUGAAGUAUAAAAUGUAUAAAGAAUCGUGUCAUAAAUUCAUCUGUAGAAUACUCUGUGCCAGCAAUUGUUGCUAUAUGAGCAACACAGAUGAAUCUCGUGAACAUGAUGAUAAAGAAACUAGGACAAAGAGUCCAUCUUGCAAUAUGCUGUUUGCAUACAAGUGGAGAUGAGCAAAACUGAUCUAUAAUAUUAGAAGUUAGCUGCCUUUAGAAAGAGUGGGGAGGGCAUUUAGAAGAGACUAUGAGGAACUGGGGUAUUCACAAUGUUUUCUUUAAAAUAUGUCUGUUUUGUGAUUAUUUGCUGACCAAUACAUACCUGGUUUGGUCAUUUUUAUAUGACAUACCACACCACAAAAUCCUUCACAAAGUUACUAAGAAAUAAAAAGUAACAAGAAAGUAACAAAAUCAGAAUUAGGACAGUAUUGUGACAGUGCAUAUAGAAGACAUUAAAAGUUCUAGGUGCCAGAUGUUGUGAUGUGUGUCUUCAUCCCACACUCCAGAGAUUGGGGAAGGAAAGAAGCAGUGGUGAGAGGAUUGGGAAGGAAGGAAGGAAGGAAGGAAGGAAGGAAGGAGGAGAGAGGGAAGGAAAGGAUAGGAUGGAAGAAAAAAAGAGAGAAGAAAAGGAAAGAAAGAAGGGAAAGGGGGGCUGGAGAGAUGGCUCAGAGGUUAAGAGCACUGACUGCUCUUCCAGAGGUCCUGAGUUCAAAUCCCAGCAACCACAUGGUGGCUCACAACCAUCUGUAAUGGGAUCUGAUGCCCUCUUCUGGCCUGCACGUGUACAUGCAGAUGCAACGCUGUAUACUUAAUAAAUAAAUCUUUUUAAAAAGGAAAAAAGAAGAAAAUUACCACUUUAAUUCUAAGUGUUAUGUUAUCUAUCAUGUGUUCUACUUUGCUUUCUGUUGCUGUAAUAAGCACCAUUACCAAAAGCAACUUGGGGAGGAAGAAUUGUUUUAUAUUCUACUUCCAGGUCACAAUCCAUCCUGUGAGAAGUUAAGACAGGAACACAAGGAGCAGAGGAGGAAACAUGGAGGAAAACUGCUUACAGGCUUGCUCCUCGCCUCUGCUCAGUCAGCUUUCUUAUAUAAUCCAGAAGGCUCUGCGUAGGAAUGGAACCACCCACAGUGGACUGAGUCUGCCUAUAUCAAUUAGCAAACAAGAAAAUACCCUUACAGGCCAGUCUAACCAAGGAAGUCCCCUAAUUGAGACUGGCUCAGAUAAUUCGGGUGCUGCUGAGUCCACAGCAGAAGCUAACUAGAUCACGUGUUCCUUUUACUGUGAAACCAAUCCACAGACCUGCUUUACCUUGAAAAACUGAAGUUUGGUGUUUAUUAAACAAAUAUCUACAUGGCUAGAUUGUGUUCCCCACCUCAGGGCUGCUCAAGAUUGCAAUGCAUGCAGAUACAUAUUGCUUUUACCCAUUCCUCAAGGCACAUUUGGCUCGCUACCACCUUCUGGCCGUUAGAAAAGGUGCUAAGAACAUGGGUAUGAACACAUCUCUCUGGUAUGUAGUGUGUGUUCUUAGAAAACUUAGGAGCCACAUUAUGGCAGUACACUGUGCAGAAGUUGCCACAUUUCUCCCUCCAGCAGUUACACCUGGUUCCAGUCUCACCAACCCCUCCUACACAUGCUUUCUGAGGCUUUGAGAGAAGCCUCCCUAACAGGUGUGGAAGUUGAGGGUGAAGGUAUUUUUUUAAAGAAUUUUAUUUACAGUGCUACAACAGAGACUAUGGAACUCUAAAGGAGAUUCUUAGUAACAUUUAAAAGCCCAAAAGUGGCUUAACAGGUUGACAGUGCAGUCAGAAUGAGAGCUGUAGAGUAAGUGAAAACAUGAGUUUGAAACGUAGCUUUAAAAAUGUUCACCUGAACCAUUUAACUUGAUAUCUGGUGUGAUUGAAUUUGAUUUUAUUUUACAAGUCUCACACUGUAGUCCAGGCUGGUCUCAGACGCACUGUCCUGAAUACGUCAAUCCUCUUGUUUCAACGUGAGUGUUCACAUUAGAGCCACCUUGCCUCAUUAUGAAUUAGAACAUUUUUUCAUGUAUCCCAGGCUAGCCUCUCACUUGUUGUAUAGCUGAGGAAGACCUUGAAGUUUUGAUUGUCCUUCCCUGGCCUCCCAAGUACUGGAAAGAUAGGCAAUUUUUAAAAAGGUUUGUUUAUUUCUUUAUUCAUGUAUGUAUAUAGGAGGAACUUUUUUUUUUAAAAUUUAGUUCCAUUUAUAAAUUUUUCCUUUUAUUUCCUGAGCUAUUUGGAGUUCUAUUUACAAGAUUGCUGCUUGGAUCUACAGCUUAGCGAGUUUCCCAUUUUGCUCUAAUACUUUAAAAAUGUAAGAUUUUUUAAAUGUCAUCAUUAUGUGAUUUAAUUAAGUUGUGGAAUUGUAAUAAGCACAGCUGUCAUGAGGAGUUUUAGAGAAAUAAAACCAUGAACUGCAUGCCCUGGGCAUCUGCUGUCCCUGUGUUUAACGCCUGUCAGUGAGAUGAGUCGGUUAGAGCUUCUAAUGUAGUACUCUACUCUGUACUUCCCUGAGAAGCUGGGAAAUGAGCAAACUGGCUAGCGAGACAGCCUUCCCAUAGAGCUGAUCAUAGGUUUGCCUGAGCAAUCUUGCCUCGGUGAAUAAGGUAAGGAGAAACAGGAAGGUCCUCGGCACCAACCUCAGCCCUUCACGUGCAUAUGCACGCACACUUUUUUAAAAUAGUAUUUUGCUAUUUUCUGGUUGUUAUGUCUAAAUACCUGACCAGAAGUGAUUUUGGUUGCUAGGGUUCUAUGGCUUACAGUUUAAGAAGGGCUGUGUCAUGGCAGGGAAAGGAUAACACAGGAAGGAUUGUGAGGCAGCUAGCCACGUUUAUCAGCAGUCAGGAAGCAGAGAACAGGACAUGGGACCAGGCUAUAAGACCUCAAAGUCAUUCCCAGGGAGCCACUUUGUCCAGCCAGGCUGCACCUCCAAGAGUAGUAACAUCCCAAAGCAGCGCCACCAGCUGGAGGCAGAGUCGAAACACACGAGUCUAGCCGUGUUUUAAUUCAUUUGAGUUGACUUAUGAAAGAGAGUCAGAGUAUCUAGUGCCCUUGUCUAAGUGCACUAACAAACACCCUGUUUUCCCACCUCCAUUUGUUGAUGUUUGCUUUUAUCCAACAUCUGUUUGGGGCGGGUUUUGUCAAGAAUCGGAGAGCCGGGGCUGUAUAUGUCUUAUUUCAGGGACAUUCUGUUCCAAUCAUACAUAUGUUUGUUUUAUGCAUAAACCAGGCUAGUUUUGUUAGAGUGGUUCUGUAGUGUGUAUGAAAUCAGGUAUUUGAUUCCUUUAGAGUUGUUCUUUCUGCUGUUUGACUAUUUGGAGUCCAUGUAAAUUUUAGGAUUUUUUUUCUAGUUUUGUGAAGAAUGUUGUUGGUAUUUUGAUGGCAUUGUCAUUUAAUCUGUAGAUUGUGAAUUGCAAAUAUGACCAUGUUAAAUACAGUCAUUCCAUCUGAUCCAUGAACAAAGUAGGCAUGUCCAUCUUCUUUUUUUUUUUUUUUUUUUUUUUUUCUUUUUUCUUUUUUCUUUUUUUCGGAGCUGGGGACCGAACCCAGGGCCUUGCACUUGUUAGGCAAGCGCUCUACCACUGAGCUAAAUCCCCAACCCCGCAUGUCCAUCUUCUAAUGUUGUCCUUAAUUUCUCUCUUUAGUCUUCAGUGCUAAGUUUCAUCUCUUUGAUUAAGUUGUCGUUGUUACCCCGUGUAACCCUAGUCGGCCAGGACCUCUGUUUGUAGAUCCGGCUGGCCUCAAACUCACAGAGAUCCCCUGCCUCUUCCUCCCCAGCACUGGGAUUAAAGGCAUGAGGGAGGUCCCACCAAAGGCUUUUUGUUGAGUUUGUUCCUAAGUGUUUUCUUUUGGUUUCAUUAGUGAUUGAACCCAGGGCCUUGUGCGUAGUGGACAACUGCUUUACCCCUGAGCUAUACCUGUAUGUUUGGCUUAUGAGUGGGCUUCUUUUCCUGAUCUGUUUCUCCAUAAACUCAUUACUGGUUGUGAAAAGAAGUUUAAUACUGCUACUUUGACAGACUUAUCACCUCUACAGUGUUUUGGCAGAGUCCGUAGGGUCUGCUAGGUAUAGAGUCGUGCCAUCUGCAACAGGGGUGGCUUGGCUGACUCCUCCCUUUGCUCUCUGUGCCUCUAUUGUGUUCUUGUGCCUAAUUUGUUUUGGCUAAAAUUUGAAUCCCUAACCGAGCCUCGGGGGAAGUGAAGGACCCUAGGGGCUUUGCCAGCCUUAUACCCACCCACCUCGGGGCAAGGCUAGGCCAGGUUCCAGCUUCCUGCCUCAGGGCAAGGCUAGACCUUGUUCCAUUCUCCACCCACAGUUCUUGGGAGGAGCAGGGACAUUCUUGAAAAACCACAGAAUGUACUACUGACAGUCACCUGACCCUCUGGUCCCAGAUAGAGUUUGAAUGCCUGUCGUAUGCUUGCUAGCCAAUGGAUUCAAAGGUCAAUAUGCUUAGCCAAUAAGUUCAAACUGUAACCUUGCUGGUGUAACCUGUACCCCUAAAAAGUAUAAAACUUGCUUGUUAUAGCCAUUCCGGGUCUCCUUCUAGUCACUCGUGAGAGGCUGAUUGGAGGUCGACCCCAACAUGCCAGAAAAAUAAACCUCUUGUGUUUGCAUUGAACUCCAUUCUUGUGUCUCGCUUUUG